AAUGAACGUUGGCGGCGUGGAUUAGGCAUGCAAGUCGUACGGGGCCGCAAGGUACCCGUGGCGCAAGGGUGAGUAAGGCGACGGUAACCUACCCCAGGGCUGGCCAUAGCCGCGGGAAACCGCGGGUAAUAGCCAGCGACGUGUCUGGAAGGCAUCUUCCGGCCACCAAAGGUGUGAUUCCGCCCUGGGACGGGCCGUCGUGGUAUUAGGUAGUUGGCGGGGUAACGGCCCACCAAGCCUCUGAUGCCUACCGGGCGUGCGAGCGUGGCCCGGCACACUGGGACUGAGACACUGCCCAGACUCCUACGGGAGGCUGCAGUCGAGAAUCUUCGGCAAUGGGCGCAAGCCUGACCGAGCGACGCCGCGUGGAGGACGAAGGCCUUCGGGUUGUAAACUCCUGUCGAGGGGAAGGAAGGGACGGCGCAGAGCCGUUCUUGACCGCUCCCUGGAGGAAGCACGGGCUAAGUUCGUGCCAGCCGCCGCCGUAACAC
rnacentral:rRNA from 1 species